rnacentral:rRNA from 1 species
GACGAACGCUGGCGGCGUGCUUAACACAUGCAAGUCGAACGGAAAGGCCCUGCUUUUGUGGGGUGCUCGAGUGGCGAACGGGUGAGUAACACGUGAGUAACCUGCCCUUGACUUUGGGAUAACUUCAGGAAACUGGGGCUAAUACCGGAUAGGAGCUCCUGCUGCAUGGUGGGGGUUGGAAAGUUUCGGCGGUUGGGGAUGGACUCGCGGCUUAUCAGCUUGUUGGUGGGGUAGUGGCUUACCAAGGCUUUGACGGGUAUCCGGCCUGAGAGGGUGACCGGCCACAUUGGGACUGAGAUACGGCCCAGACUCCUACGGGAGGCAGCAGUGGGGAAUAUUGCACAAUGGGCGGAAGCCUGAUGCAGCAACGCCGCGUGCGGGAUCACGGCCUUCGGGUUGUAAACCGCUUUCGCCUGUGACGAAGCGUGAGUGACGGUAAUGGGUAAAGAAGCACCGGCUAACUACGUG